rnacentral:lncRNA from 1 species
AAACAUAAAAACUUUUUGUCAUUCCAAGACUUAACCUGUGCAUGCACUAUCUCUGUUCUAUCACAAUCCCUACUAGAGCUCCUCAUUGCUCUAGGCGGAUAAAACUCAUAAUGUUAAGCCUGGUUUUCUCAUAAUCAGACUAAUAAAAGCAAACAUACAUCAACUGAUCAUGUGACUCUACAAAGGGAUUACACUUCUUAUAAGUCAAGCACCAUUCGAUAUCCUGUACACAUACACUAUCUCUUUACA